AGUCAUAUGCUUAGCUCAAAGAUUAAGCCAUGCAUGUCCAAGUAUAAACACGUUUGUACUGUAAAACUGCAGAUGGCUCAUUACAACAGUUAUAGUUUAUUUGACAAUCGAGCAUUACACGGAUACCCGUAGUAACUCUAGGGCUAAUACGUGACAAAACCUCUCUCGAGGCGUGCAUAUUAGCUAAAAACCAAUUCUGGUUGAACCAUAAUAUUCUGUCGGAUCGCGUUGACUCUGUCAGCGACAUGUCAUUCAAAUUUCUGACCUAUCAGCUUUGACGGUAGACUAUUGGCCUACCGUGGCUUUGACGGGUACGGGGAAUCAGGGUUCGAUUCCGGAGAGGCAGCCUGAGAAACGGCUACCACAUCCACGGAAGGCAGCAGGUGCGCAAAUUACCCAAUCCUGACUCAGGGAAGUAGUGACAAGCAAUAACGAUUAUCAGCUUUCAGUUGAAAUUCGCAAUGAGAACAACGUAAAACCCUUAUCGAUCACCAAGUGGAGGGCAAGCCUGGUGCCAGCAGCCGCGGUAAUACCAGCUCCACUAGCGUAUACUAAAGUUGUUGCUGUUAAAACGCUCGUAGUUGGAUAUCAGUCGGGAAGGGCACGGCCCGGACGAGUUUCGUACGUGCGCCACGCGGUUCGCCGCAGCCCUCCGGACUUAAUUCAGAACUGCCUGUCUGCCCCUUACCCGGGUGGGCGCGCCCGUUCUGAUCUAUUACUUUGAGAAAAUUAAAGUGCUCAAAGCAGGCUUCCGCCUGAAUGCAUUAGCAUGGAAUAAUAAAACACGACUUUGGCAUCGCCUCCGGGCGAGUUUUGUUGGUUUUGAGCCGGAGUAAUGAUUGAUAGAAACAAUUGGGGGUGCUAGUAUCGCCAGGCCAGAGGUAAAAUUCUUUGAUUCUGGUGAGACUGCCUUAUGCGAAAGCAUUCAUCAAGCGUGUUUUCUUUAAUCAAGAACUAAAGCCGGGGGAUCGAAGACGAUCAGAUACCGUCGUAGUCCCAGCCAUAAACGAUGUCGACUAAGCAUUGGGCAAGAUUAACUUCCUCAGCGCUUUGUGAGAAAUCAAAGUUUUCGGACUCAGGGGGAAGUAUGCUCGCAAGAGUGAAAUUUAAAGGAAUUGACGGAAGGGCACCACCAGAUGUGGAGCCUGCGGCUCAAUUUGACUCAACACGGGAAAACUUACCAGGUCCAGACAUAGUAAGGAUUGACAGAUUGAAGUUCUUUCUUGAUUCUAUGAAUAGUGGUGCAUGGCCGUUCUUAGUUGGUGGAGCGAUUUGUCUGGUUAAUUCCGAUAACGAACGAGACCUCAGCCAUCUAACUAGCUGUCGCUAGUUCUCUAGCGUUUGCUCGCGCAAGAUCAGCUUCUUAGAGGGACAAUCUGCGUCUAGCAGAUGGAAGAUUGAGGCUAUAACAGGUCAGUGAUGCCCUUAGAAGGUCUGGGCUGCACGCGCGCUACAAUGACUCAGACAACGGGUCCAGCCGAACCUGAAAAGGCGAGGUAAUCCCCAAACUGGGUCCAAGUUGGGAUAGAUGAUUGUAAUUGUUCAUCUUGAACAAGGAAUAUCUAGUAAACGCAAGUCAUCAACUUGCAUUGAUUACGUCCCUGCCCUUUGUACACACCGCCCGUCGCUCCUACCGAUUGAAUAAUCAGAUGAACUGAGUGGAUGAGGCGUAGCCUCGGCAAACUCUUCAAAAGCUCCGUGAAUCUUAUUAUUUAGAGGAAGGACAAGUCGUAACAAGGUUUCC
rnacentral:rRNA from 1 species